AUCCAGUUGAUGAGUCCCAAACAGGACGAAACGCGUGUCUUAGAU
rfam:Schistosoma haematobium scaffold1218_3, whole genome shotgun sequence.